rnacentral:rRNA from 1 species
AGCAAUACAGGGUGAUGGACUGCCUUUUGCAUAAUGAGCCUGCGAGUUGUGGUGUCUGGCAAGGUUAAGCAAACGCGAAGCCGUAGCGAAAGCGAGUCUGAAUAGGGCGCUUAGUCAGAUGCUGCAGACCCGAAACGAAGUGAUCUAUCCAUGAGCAAGUUGAAGCUAGUGUAAGAACUAGUGGAGGACUGAACCCAUAGGCGUUGAAAAGCCCCGGGAUGACUUGUGGAUAGGGGUGAAAGGCCAAUCAAACUUCGUGAUAGCUGGUUCUCUCCGAAAUAUAUUUAGGUAUAGCGUUGUGUCGUAAUAUAAGGGGGUAGAGCACUGAAUGGGCUAGGGCAUACACCAAUGUACCAAACCCUAUCAAACUCCGAAUACCUUAUAUGUAAUCACAGCAGUCAGGCGGCGAGUGAUAAAAUCCGUCGUCAAGAGGGAAACAACCCAGACUACCAGCUAAGGUCCCUAAAUCUUACUUAAGUGGAAAACGAUGUGAAGUUACUUAAACAACCAGGAGGUUGGCUUAGAAGCAGCCAUCCUUUAAAGAAAGCGUAAUAGCUCACUGGUCUAGUGAUUUUGCGCGGAAAAUAUAACGGGGCUAAAGUAAGUACCGAAGCUGUAGACUUAGUUUACUAAGUGGUAGGAGAGCGUUCUAUUUGCGUCGAAGGUAUACCGGUAAGGAGUGCUGGAGCGAAUAGAAGUGAGCAUGCAGGCAUGAGUAGCGAUAAUUAAUGUGAGAAUCAUUAACGCCGUAAACCCAAGGUUUCCUACGCGAUGCUCGUCAUCGUAGGGUUAGUCGGGUCCUAAGUCGAGUCCGAAAGGGGUAGACGAUGGCAAAUUGGUUAAUAUUCCAAUACCAACAUUAGUGUGCGAUGGAAGGACGCUUAGGGCUAAGGGGGCUAGCGGAUGGAAGUGCUAGUCUAAGGUCGUAGGAGGUUAUACAGGCAAAUCCGUAUAACAAUACUCCGAGAACUGAAAGGCUUUUUGAAGUCUUCGGAUGGAUAGAAGAACCCCUGAUGCCGUCGAGCCAAGAAAAGUUUCUAAGUUUAGCUAAUGUUGCCCGUACCGUAAACCGACACAGGUGGGUGGGAUGAGUAUUCUAAGGCGCGUGGAAGAACUCUCUUUAAGGAACUCUGCAAAAUAGCACCGUAUCUUCGGUAUAAGGUGUGGUUAGCUUUGUAUUAGGAUUUACUCCGAAAGCAAGGAAACUUACAACAAAGAGUCCCUCCCGACUGUUUACCAAAAACACAGCACUCUGCUAACUCGUAAGAGGAUGUAUAGGGUGUGACGCCUGCCCGGUGCUCGAAGGUUAAUUGAUGGGGUUAGCAUUAGCGAAGCUCUUGAUCGAAGCCCGAGUAAACGGCGGCCGUAACUAUAACGGUCCUAAGGUAGCGAAAUUCCUUGUCGGUUAAAUACCGACCUGCAUGAAUGGCGUAACGAGAUGGGAGCUGUCUCAAAGAGGGAUCCAGUGAAAUUGUAGUGGAGGUGAAAAUUCCUCCUACCCGCGGCAAGACGGAAAGACCCCGUGGACCUUUACUACAGCUUGACACUGCUACUUGGAUAAGAAUGUGCAGGAUAGGUGGGAGGCUUUGAGUAUAUGACGCCAGUUGUAUAUGAGCCAUUGUUGAGAUACCACUCUUUCUUAUUUGGGUAGCUAACCAGCUUGAGUUAUCCUCAAGUGGGACAAUGUCUGGUGGGUAGUUUGACUGGGGCGGUCGCCUCCCAAAUAAUAACGGAGGCUUACAAAGGUUGGCUCAGAACGGUUGGAAAUCGUUCGUAGAGUAUAAAGGUAUAAGCCAGCUUAACUGCAAGACAUACAAGUCAAGCAGAGACGAAAGUCGGUCUUAGUGAUCCGGUGGUUCUGUGUGGAAGGGCCAUCGCUCAAAGGAUAAAAGGUACCCCGGGGAUAACAGGCUGAUCUCCCCCAAGAGCUCACAUCGACGGGGAGGUUUGGCACCUCGAUGUCGGCUCAUCGCAUCCUGGGGCUGGAGCAGGUCCCAAGGGUAUGGCUGUUCGCCAUUUAAAGCGGUACGCGAGCUGGGUUCAGAACGUCGUGAGACAGUUCGGUCCCUAUCUGCCGUGGGCGUAAGAAGAUUGAAGAGAUUUGACCCUAGUACGAGAGGACCGGGUUGAACAAACCACUGGUGUAGCUGUUGUUCUGCCAAGAGCAUCGCAGCGUAGCUAAGUUUGGAAAGGAUAAACGCUGAAAGCAUCUAAGCGUGAAGCCAACUCUAAGAUGAAUCUUCUCUAAGCUCUCUAGAAGACUACUAGUUUGAUAGGCUGGGUGUGUAAUGGAUGAAAGUCCUUUAGCUGACCAGUACUAAUAGAGCGUUUGGCUUAUCU